rnacentral:lncRNA from 1 species
UUUUUGAAAGAAUGUAAAAAUAUAUUCAACCAAAAAAAUCCUUGUUACAUUACAUGCUUCCUUAUAUUGAAAGAGCUGAAAGGAAUAGAAAUAUUAUGCAGAACUCAAUAUCGGGAGUCAAACCAUAUUUGGAGCCCAUCGACCAUCUUGUGUGGGUCGUGAAGCCGAAUGGAGGAAAGUUUGUUUCGGACUAACCGGUCCAGAAACUUGAUGAGAUGU